AAUGGGCGGAAGCCUGAAUCAGCCAUGCCGCGUGCAGGAAGAAUGCCCUACGGGUUGUAAACUGCUUUUCCCCGGGAAGAAUAAGGCCCCUGCGGGGGUCGAUGCCGGUACCGGGGGAAUAAGGAUCGGCUAACUCCGUGCCAGCAGCCGCGGUAAUACGGAGGAUCCUAGCGUUAUCCGGAUUUACUGGGUUUAAAGGGUGCGUAGGCGGGGCGCUAAGUCAGCGGUGAAAUGUGGCGGCUCAACCGUUUCGCUGCCGCUGAUACUGUAGGGCUUGGAUGCGGUCGAGGCGGGUGGAAUUCGUGGUGUAGCGGUGAAAUGCAUAGAUAUCACGAGGAACGCCGAUAGCGAAGGCAGCUCGCCGGGCCGCGAUCGACGCUGAGGCACGAAAGCGUGGGGAUCAAA
rnacentral:rRNA from 1 species